rnacentral:ncRNA from 1 species
CUGCAUUCUCAGGGCAGGGUGAAAUUCCCUACCGGCGGUAAAGCCCGCGAGCACUUAAAAGUGCGGUCAAUUUUUAGUGAAAAUUUUGAUGAAAUUGGCCUUUUUAAGGUUAGCAGAUUUGGUGUAAUUCCAAAGCCGACAGUAAAGUCUGGAUGAAAGAGAAUAAAG